rnacentral:miRNA from 1 species
UGGUGUGUGGUUUUUACUGAUUUGACCAUGGUGUGGUAGAAAUAAACUGGACUUGGAGUCAGAACAUUUGAUUCCAAGUCCUGACU